rnacentral:lncRNA from 1 species
ACAUUUCUAAUUGUGUAGAUUAACUUCAACGGUGCCGAUUAUCAAUUUGAAGUUCGAUCAUUCAAAUCAACUUGAUACGACAAGGGUUCCAAUUCUAUUAAUAGAAUAGUAGAGCGGACCCUAUAUAUAUAUAUUAUAUAUAUAUAUAUAUAUAUAUAUAUAUUAUAUUAUAUUAUAUAAUUAGGCUGGAAUAUCUAUUAAUAUGUAAAACGCUCUUUUUGCUAUCAAAUUUUUAACUCUUGGAUGAAAAAUUGUAAGGUCGGGAUGAUAUUAGUCGGUUAGAGUUCAGUGUCCCCCUAGGGU